GAAGGCCCUGUCAAGAUCCCAGCAUCCUGCCUUUAAGACUUCUUCUCCGGACCCUUGAGACAGAUAAACUUCUGUUCUUUCCUUGCUGCUUCCAUCUAGACAGACAGUGAACGCUGCCCAACUUCCUCAUCCAUGUGAAGCAGAUGAUCAAUAUCAUGAAUACAUGAGGCUUGGAACAGGCAAGGAGCAGCCGUUAACUCCAUGAAAGCAGUAGUAGAGACAAAAAGGAAAGAUGAAAUAUACCAAAUCUUUUGCCAGAGGCUUGUGAUGAAGACAUUUGAAGCAGGCAUUGGGACACAGACCCGAGUUCAGCCUUGCAUCUGUCUGCUUUUUGGUUUGCUUCUCUUGAACAGUACUGAGUCAUAGAAACUUCUGUGAUGAUGAAAUAUUCCCUAUCAGAGCUGUUCAGUGUGGUUGCUACUAGUCAUAUGUGGACAAUGAACACUUGACCACAAAACUGGGGUGUCUAAUAUUUGAUAGAAACCAAUUCAUAUGUAAAGGCAAAUUGACACCUGUGACCAUUGGCUACCAUAUCGGACCACAUAGCUCUAGAUCAUUAGAGACAGAGUUCUCUACUGUACAUGCUCAGUAGAGACUGAAGAGGGUUUUGUAAUUGUCUUCUGAAGAAUGAAGGAAUUAUGAAUUAUAAAGAAAUGUUUCAGCCAAAAAUGUUUCUCUUGCCAAAAAAGGAAAAGGAAACUGUCUAAAAUAAAAAUCCAAGUCUGAAAUGAAAGAAAAAAGCAACGAUGUCAUAUGCCAACAAUAUGGCUGCCUAAACAAGACCUUAACAAUGACAAUACAGUAGACAUGGUGGCAGGGAAGGGGGAAAUAGGCAACUAAUGACCACUUGGUGAGGAAGGAUUAGUCUUUCUCAAGGAUGAGCCCCCUACUCGGUUAUCCAAAAUAAGUGGUCUGCCCCCAAAUCAUAUGUAUAUACAAACAACACUAAACAGACUCAGCUGGUUGUAUUUACAUAUUCCUGUAUAUAUGUAUAUGUAUGUGUGUGUAUGUAUGUAACAAUAAUAAAGGCAAAAAGGUAAUUUAAGAAGGAGUGAAGUGAGGUCAUGGAAAGGGUUGGAGGGAGGAAAGAGAAGCAGGGGAAAUAUUACAAUUAUAUAUUAAUUAGAUAAAAAUCUAGUUAUAAAAAGAGCAACAAUAAAAAUGGUCAAGUGAAAACUAUUGCUUCAGAAGAAGAAGGUUUCUUUAAAACAAUUACUUGCUUGUGUACUUGAUGAGGAAUAGUUUGACCAAAGUUUUGUAUUUUCUCUAUGUCUUAGUAAAUGUAUACAAACAAUUAUC